rnacentral:rRNA from 1 species
AUUGAACGCUAGCGGGAUGCUUUACACAUGCAAGUCGACCGAGUGGCGGACGGGUGAGUACUAUAUCGGAACGUGCCCAGUAGCGGGGGAUAACUACUCGAAAGAGUAGCUAAUACCGCAUACGAUUGGAUCGGCCGAUAUCGGAUUAUCUAGUUGGUUGGGUAAAGGCUCACCAAGGCAACGAUCCGUAGCUGGUUUGAGAGGACGACCAGCCACACUGGGACUGAGACACGGCCCAGACGCCUACGGGAGGCAGCAGUGGGGAAUUUUGGACAAUGGGGGAAACCCUGAGCCAGCCAUCCCGCGUGUAUGAGAAGGCCUUCGGGUUGUAAAGUACUUUUGGCAGAGAAGCGGUAUCUGCAGAAUAAGCACCGGCUAACUACGUGCCAGCAGCCGCGGUAAUAC